UUGGCUAUUGAUCCUGAUCAAGAAUAUAUAUACUUUAUGUGGUCGGAAACGCUUCUUUCUGCCUGUUACAUACUAUUUAAAGAAUCUAGUAUACUCUACUAGUAACGAACGGGUAUAAAAAGUGAACCAUUUUUAAGCGUGGGGGCAGAUGUGAGCUAUUUUGGUGGCGGUCAAACUUUCCACCUUUUUUGGUCCCCAAUUAACAGCGUACAUGCCAAAUCUUUUCGAAAAUUAAUUAUGUUUAUUAUUAACCGUCAUAGAAAGCAGUGGAUUCACAAAUAUAUUGGUCCGCUGCGUUGGUCCUAAAUCAAAACAAAUCAAACCCAACCAAAUUCGACUUGCACGAACAGAUUUUCUCUUGAAUAAAUAAUGCUUCGGUUCACUUCCCACCUAUAGUUAUUAUAGAUUUACUCUAGUAUUGGGCUAUCUCUGCCGCACACCGCCGCAUUGACAGGUUUAUGAAAGGAGUCUCCCAAAUAAUAGCUGGUGUCAUUACAACUGUUUAUUUAUUUUUACACCAAUCUCAACUAAAGCGGGUGUCGAUCACUUUUAGGCCUCAGUUUCAGACUGGAGCUUGGCA